CUUUUUCAGUGGAGCGUAGGACUUUGUUACAAGAAAAAAAUGGUCAUAUUUCAAAGUGGUUACUUUUCUCCUCCCCUUGCCAAAGACUAGAGAUGAUUUUUCUCGCUUCUUCAUGAUGAGAACUUGUUGGGGUUCUUGGAGGUAAAAACCUCUGAAUAUGCUGAAACCCUGCUAAGACUGUGGCUCCAAGGAGUUUUUUAUUCUUGAGCUAUGUCACAAUCAACUUACGGCAAUUUAUCUGAAUUACCAUUCAGGUGACCCAUCCAGUUUUUAGUUCCGUGGUUCCUGCUCCAGGUAAAGUAAGGUACAGGACAUCCUGGAAGCUGAGCAGAGAAGCAUGCAGCCGUUCCAUCCCAGAGGAAGCAGCACCCCAGGGGCUGAGAAGCAAACACUCCCUGCCAAAUGUUCCAUCACAAUCAACAGAUACAAGAGGAUCCACUGCUAGAAGCUGGAGUUGAAUUUCUCUUUCCCUUAUUCUUUACCUCAGAUCUGCAACCUCCUGUCUGGUCCCCACAGGGUCCAGCCCUCCUUCUGUGAUUUCCUCAAAAUGACAACCUGGAGGCUAUUGAUGAGAGGACACCCAGUGGUGAGGAGACACUGGGUUCACAGUCCAAAGGCUGAGUACCAGUCAUACUCAAGCUGAAUAACUGAGGCUCAACAAGAUGAGGGCAUUUGUCUAAGUCACAAUCCUCAGGUCAGUAUGGAGUGGAAUGAAAACGAGAUAUGUGUACAUUUGUCUGUGAUGCCUUCCUGACCCCCUCACUUGUGGGGUCUGGCGGCUGGGUACCCGACUGUAUGCAGAGGGGAAAGGCAGCUAGUCUGUAGCCCAGCCAGCCCCGUGGAACCAGCCUUUCCUUGACCCUGCUGGUAGAGAAGGUCUUCCUUAACCCUCCCCGACCGUCCCCCCACCUCCAAUUCAAUAGGCAGUUCAUUCUCAAUCAGUUCAACUCACUCUCCUCCAGGAUCUCUACUUUUCUGUCCAGGACAGACUCACCUGUAACUCCAUCUUCCUAUUCUGGAGAGGUGGUUGUGGGGAUUGGUUGGGUUCCUCUGAGGUAAGUGGGUCUCUUAAAGCUGCACUGGGCUGGGGGCCAAUGUGUUGUGCCUGGGGA